AGCGAACGCUGGCGGCAGGCUUAACACAUGCAAGUCGAACGGGCAUAGCAAUAUGUCAGUGGCAGACGGGUGAGUAACGCGUGGGAACGUACCUUUUGGUUCGGAACAACACAGGGAAACUUGUGCUAAUACCGGAUAAGCCCUUACGGGGAAAGAUUUAUCGCCGAAAGAUCGGCCCGCGUCUGAUUAGCUAGUUGGUAGGGUAAUGGCCUACCAAGGCGACGAUCAGUAGCUGGUCUGAGAGGAUGAUCAGCCACAUUGGGACUGAGACACGGCCCAAACUCCUACGGGAGGGAGCAGUGGGGAAUAUUGGACAAUGGGCGAAAGCCUGAUCCAGCCAUGCCGCGUGAGUGAUGAAGGCGCUAGGGUUGUAAAGCUCUUUUGUGCGGGAAGAUAAUGACGGUACCGCAAGAAUAAGCCCCGGCUAACUUCGUG
rnacentral:rRNA from 1 species